GGCUGCUCUGAAGGUAGUGAGUUAUCUGAACUGAUUGGUCACAAUCAGUUACAGAUUAAAUUUGUUCUAUUCUUUCCUCUCUUCUCACUACUGUACUUGACUAAUCUUUA
rnacentral:Y_RNA from 1 species